UUGAACGCUGUCGGCAUGCUUUACACAUGCAAGUCGGACGGCAGCACAGAGAAGCUUGCUUCUUGGGUGGCGAGUGGCGAACGGGUGAGUAAUAUAUCGGAACGUACCGAGUAAUGGGGGAUAACUAAUCGAAAGAUUAGCUAAUACCGCAUAUUCUCUGAGGAGGAAAGCAGGGGACCUUCGGGCCUUGCGUUAUUCGAGCGGCCGAUAUCUGAUUAGCUAGUUGGUGGGGUAAAGGCCUACCAAGGCGACGAUCAGUAGCGGGUCUGAGAGGAUGAUCCGCCACACUGGGACUGAGACACGGCCCAGACUCCUACGGGAGGCAGCAGUGGGGAAUUUUGGACAAUGGGCGCAAGCCUGAUCCAGCCAUGCCGCGUGUCUGAAGAAGGCCUUCGGGUUGUAAAGGACUUUUGUCAGGGAAGAAAAGGCUGUUGCUAAUAUCAAUAGCUGAUGACGGUACCUGAAGAAUAAGCACCGGCUAACUACGUG
rnacentral:rRNA from 1 species